rnacentral:rRNA from 1 species
AUUGAACGCUGGCGGCAGGCUUAACACAUGCAAGUCGAACGAGUGGCGGACGGGUGAGUAGUGCUUGGGAAUCUAGCUUAUGGAGGGGGCUAACUACGGGAAACUGUAGCUAAUACCGCGUACCAUAGGCUGAGCCCAAGUGGGAUUAUGUAGUUGGUGAGGUAAAGGCUCACCAAGCCGACGAUCUCUAGCUGGUCUGAGAGGAUGACCAGCCACACUGGGACGGAGACACGGCCCAGACUCCUACGGGAGGCAGCAGUGGGGAAUAUUGCACAAUGGGCGCAACCUGACGCAGCAAUGCCGCGUGAAUGAAGAAGGCCUUCGGGUUGUAAAGUUCUGUCGGUAGCGAGGCGUUAUCUACAGAAGAAGCACCGGCUAACUCCGUGCCAGCAGCCGCGGUAAUUC